rnacentral:rRNA from 1 species
UGUGAGGUAUGCUGGAGGUAUCAGAAGUGCGAAUGCUGACAUAAGUAACGAUAAAGCGGGUGAAAAGCCCGCUCGCCGGAAGACCAAGGGUUCCUGUCCAACGUUAAUCGGGGCAGGGUGAGUCGACCCCUAAGGCGAGGCCGAAAGGCGUAGUCGAUGGGAAACAGGUUAAUAUUCCUGUACUUGGUGUUACUGCGAAGGGGGGACGGAGAAGGCUAUGUUGGCCGGGCGACGGUUGUCCCGGUUUAAGCGUGUAGGCUGGUUUUCCAGGCAAAUCCGGAAAAUCAAGGCUGAGGCGUGAUGACGAGGCACUACGGUGCUGAAGCAACAAAUGCCCUGCUUCCAGGAAAAGCCUCUAAGCAUCAGGUAACAUCAAAUCGUACCCCAAACCGACACAGGUGGUCAGGUAGAGAAUACCAAGGCGCUUGAGAGAACUCGGGUGAAGGAACUAGGCAAAAUGGUGCCGUAACUUCGGGAGAAGGCACGCUGAUAUGUAGGUGAAGUCCCUCGCGGAUGGAGCUGAAAUCAGUCGAAGAUACCAGCUGGCUGCAACUGUUUAUUAAAAACACAGCACUGUGCAAACACGAAAGUGGACGUAUACGGUGUGACGCCUGCCCGGUGC